rnacentral:rRNA from 1 species
AUACGUAGGGGGCGAGCGUUGUCCGGAAUGAUUGGGCGUAAAGGGCGCGUAGGCGGCCCGGUAAGUCUGGAGUGAAAGUCCUGUUUUUAAGAUGGGAAUUGCUUUGGAUACUGUCGGGCUUGAGUGCAGGAGAGGUAAGUGGAAUUCCCAGUGUAGCGGUGAAAUGGGUAGAGAUUGGGAGGAACACCAGUGGCGAAGGCGACUUACUGGACUGUAACUGACGCUGAGGCGCGAAAGUGUGGGGAGCAAACAGGAUUAGAUACCCUGGUAGUCCACACUGUAAACGAUGAAUGCUAGGUGUAGGGGGUAUCGACCCCUUCUGUGCCGCAGUCAACACAAUAAGCAUUCCGCCUGGGGAGUGCGGCCGCAAGGUUGAAACUCAAAUGAAUUGACGGUG